rnacentral:rRNA from 1 species
CGUAGGGGGCGAGCGUUGCCCGGAAUCAUUGGGCGUAAAGAGCUCGUAGGCGGCUCAGUAAGUCGGGUGUGAAACCCCCAGGCUCAACCUGGGGACGCCACCCGAUACUGCUGUGGCUAGAGUCCAGUAGGGGAGUGUGGAAUUCCCGGUGUAGCGGUGAAAUGCGCAGAUAUCGGGAGGAACACCAGCGGCGAAGGCGGCACUCUGGGCUGGAACUGACGCUGAGGAGCGAAAGCGUGGGUAGCAAACAGGAUUAGAUACCCUGGUAGUCCACGCCGUAAACGUUGGGCACUAGGUGUGGGGACCCUCCAACGGUCUCCGUGCCGUAGCUAACGCAUUAAGUGCCCCGCCUGGGGAGUACGGCCGCAAGGCUA